AGGCUGAAAAAGUACAAACUAUAUAUAUUACUAGCAUUUUAAUUCUGAGCUCCUUACUAUUGUUUUUAAAUAAGGUAAUUACCAAGUCCAAAUUUUAAAAUGAAAACACUAACUCUUAGUACAUAAACAAAGCAAAAUUUUUAAUUUGUAUAGUAAAUACAUACUGGUAUGAUAACCUAAAUUUAAUUUUAGAAACAUCUGCUACAUCAUAUGUAAAAUCUUUAUUAUAUAUCA